rnacentral:lncRNA from 1 species
GGGGCCAAAUUAUGAACAGAAAGUUAUAAUUUAACCGCAGGAUGUUAUAAUAUGGUCAUAAAUAUCAUAAUUUUUUCAAAAGAUGAGGGAUAUUUUCAUCAUUCAAAAUUCUAAACGAAAAAGCGGAACUGCAGACAUUAAAUGCAUGUUGGAAAGCGGUAAUUAUGUGGCCCAAGCAGAUGGUACAGUGCAUCUUUUCUGUACCGCAUGCAAUGUACAAAGAAUUACUUAUUGG